UGAGGGAUGACGGCCUUCGGGUUGUAAACCUCUUUCAGCAGGGAAGAAGCGAAAGUGACGGUACCUGCAGAAGAAGCGCCGGCUAACUACGUGCCAGCAGCCGCGGUAAUACGUAGGGCGCGAGCGUUGUCCGGAAUUAUUGGGCGUAAAGAGCUCGUAGGCAGCUUGUCACGUCGGUUGUGAAAGCCCGGGGCUUAACCCCGGGUCUGCAGUCGAUACGGGCAGGCUAGAGUUCGGUAGGGGAGAUCGGAAUUCCUGGUGUAGCGGUGAAAUGCGCAGAUAUCAGGAGGAACACCGGUGGCGAAGGCGGAUCUCUGGGCCGAUACUGACGCUGAGGAGCGAAAGCGUGGGGAGCGAACAGGAUUAGAUACCCUGGUAGUCCACGCCGUAAACGG
rnacentral:rRNA from 1 species